rnacentral:rRNA from 1 species
GAUGAACGCUGGCGGCGUGCCUAAUACAUGCAAGUCGAGCGAACGGACGAGAAGCUUUCUUCUCUGAUGUUAGCGGCGGACGGGUGAGUAACACGUGGAUAACCUACCUAUAAGACUUGGAUAACUUCGGGAAACCUGAUCUAAUACCGGAUAAUAUUUUGAACCUCAUGGUUCAAAAGUUAAAGACGGUCUUGCUGUCACCUAUAGAUGGAUCCGCGCUGCAUUAGCUAGUUGGUAAGGUAACGGCUUACCAAGGCAACGAUGCAUAUCCGACCUGAGAGGGUGAUCGGCCACACUGGAACUGAGACACGGUCCAGACUCCUACGGGAGGCAGCAGUAGGGAAUAUUCCGCAAUGGGCGAAAGCCUGACGGAGCAACGCCGCGUGAGUGAUGAAGGUCUUCGGAUCGUAAAACUCUGUUAUUAGGGAAGAACAUAUGUGUAAGAAACUGUGCACAUCUUGACGGUACCUAAUCAGAAAGCCACGGCUAACUACGUG